rnacentral:tRNA from 1 species
CGAGGUAGCUCAGUUGGUAGAGCAGUGGACUGAAAAUCCAUGUGUCGCCGGUUCGAUUCCGGCCCUCGGC